rnacentral:rRNA from 1 species
AGAAUGAACGUUGGCGGCGUGGAUUAGGCAUGCAAGUCGAACGAAUCCCAUCUGGGUAACUGGGUGGGGGAAGUGGCGAAAGGGGCAGUAAGGCAUGGGUAACUUGCCCUGGAGUUCGGGAUAGCCUUCCUAACGGAUGGGUAAUACCGAAUGCCGUAUUCGGGGGGCAUCCUCUGAAUACGAAAGUUCCGACGCUCCGGGAGAGGUCCAUGUGGUAUUAGCUAGUUGGUGAGGUAACGGCUCACCAAGGCCAAGAUGCCUAGCAGGUGUGAGAGCACGACCUGCGUCACUGGCACUGGGACACUGGCCAGACUCCUACGGGAGGCUGCAGUCGAGGAUCUUCGGCAAUGGGCGAAAGCCUGACCGAGCGACGCCGCGUGUGCGAUGAAGGCCUUCGGGUUGUAAGCACUGUCGAGGAAGAAAGCUGAAGGUUUGAUCGAUCUCUGGAGGAAGCUCGGGCUAAGUUCGCGCCAGCAGCCGCGGU